rnacentral:lncRNA from 1 species
AUCCAGGAACGAGUUUGGACACCUCUAAUUUUUAAACACAGCUGACAUAGUGCGAGGCUACGGUUUGCGUCACGACGCCGCAGUGAAAAAACGCACGUUAUGUUUCAAAUAUUCGAUGGCGACAAACUAACACGACAAUGUUGAAGAGUAAAAAACAUUGUGCACAGCGGGAAAAUGACAAUAAACUGAAUCGGCAAUGUCAACUACAUGAGCUGGUUUUUGUACGGCUCUAUUUCACUGUGUGAAUCUAAAGCCACCAUAGUCACCGAAGCAAAAAUAAAGCCCUGAAUCUUCACCUCGUGCUCCACUUAUGGUCAGCUGGAAACUUCUAACGGACCCAUUUCCACUAAACCGGGAUGGAGCAGAGGAAUGCCGGAGAUUUCCUUGAUAGAUGAGGAGUUUGGGAGCUUCUCCAGCUUUUAUGAGAGAACAUGCCAGCAGUGACCGAGGGCUGCAGAAAGUGAGCUGAAUAAUCUGUUCAUCCGCAAAACCAGCCAGAAGCUCUUCAAAUAAUGCAGGAGAAUUGAAUGUCCGCAGAGUAAACCAUGACAAAAUCCCACAAAGCCAAGAAGUCCUGAUGCUUCCCAUUGGUCCUGCUCUCUCUGGGGAAAUGAAGCCGUAUCUGAGUCCCGCUGGCCGGUAUGUAGGAGUCACAUGCAUCAUUUAUUUAUGAAAGUAAAAAUUGCUCUCCCUUUGGGCCAGUGAACAUCUGCUGCUGCUUCUGCUCUCUUCUCUGAUAAAAACAGAAUCACCUGCUCAUGCAAAUAUCACUUUCACUUCUGGUUUUUAUUUUCUGGUUAUCAUGAUAUUGAUGAAACGUUGGAUAUGUGUAUAUUUUUAGACUUUUAAUAGAUAGUUGUUUUCAUAAUUUUUAUUGGAUUAAGUAGUUGC